UUCUAUACAGUAAACAUAACUUUUUAAACCCUUAAAUACACGGUCACAUCUGGUAGUAAUGUGGAUGUGAAACCUGGUAUACUUAAGGUAUCACACUUUUUUCGACAUAUCUGUAGGUGCUCUCUGUCAAUACGCCUUCUUUUUCAAAUGGCAGCCAACAUAUCUUGCCAUUGUGUGGUUGACCCACUUACUGAACCUACCUAUUGAAUUGUUUGUUUAUUUGUUCUGAAUAUGCACGAAAUAUUAGUAAAAGGACUUGAGCAAAAUAUUUUAUCAUAAUGAGAGGAAGGCCCAUUGAUUUUCAAGCGUAUUUGUUUGUCAUCAAAAUUUAAGAAACUGAAAUUAACCUCACAAAGUAAAUUUUGAAAAGGGGUUUCCUUGUAAAAUAUAUUUAUAUGUGGAAUCGAACAAACCAUAUAUAUAUAUCUUUAUAUAACCAGAAAUCAACCAAAUCGAUGCAAAAAAGGGUUUCAGGAUUAUAACUCUUGUAUCUAUCUUGAAAUGAAAGCUCCAUAUUGAUUUCAGGCUCAAUGCUAAUAAGAUAGUCUCACAAUAAAAAAAUUUGUAAACUAACUGGAAGUGAAUAUCUCAGUAGCUCACUAAAAAAGGAAAUUUGAGCAAAAUGAGUGUAUAAAAUGGCUCGUUGCGAAGGCAAUCAAACUUUUCCCAGAAUCAGACUUUACCUGUCAAUUAUAACUUUUGAACAAAGUGUACUGUCCCAUUAAAUAAUUGCAAUAGCUAUAUAUUGUCUCUGGAGUUUUUAAUGUAAACUUGAAAUUUCUCCAUGAAAAAACAAUUAUCAUCAAUUACUUUGGCUUUUCAAAGAAACUCUUAGUUAAAAAAAGACCGGGUUCACCUUACCUCUACCUCUUUUCAUGGAUCAGUGACAAAGGUUAAGUUUUUGUUGUCAGGUCCAUAUCUCAGAUCCUACAGGCGAUAGGUCAACUGUACUGUAAAUUCAGAAAUAAUUGCGAGGUUUAUAUUGUUGUGAAUUAUGCUACUGGAUGAGUAUUGCAUCUGAAAUCGCAUAACUGAAACUGUCAAUUGAGAAUUUUGGUUAUUAGUCCCCUACCGAUGAAGUCCAAGGGGACUUUAGGUUUGCACUCCUUCCAUCCGUCUGUCCUUCCGUCUGUCUGUCUGUCCAUCCGUCAGUCCAGCAAAUCAGUUUUGCACACUUUACUUCGUCCUUGAAGAUAUUGAUUUGAUUUUUAGUGUAUUGUUUUAUCAUGACAAGUAACAGAUCAAGUUCGAAUUUUGUUCCGGUCUGAUGAUUUUGUGCAGAGUUAUGGUCCUUAGAGACUUAGAAAAUUCACUCAUAAUCAGUGUUCCACACUUUUUUUCGUCAUGCUUGAAGAUAUUGAUUUGAUAAUUGGUAUAUAGUUUUAUCAUGACAAGUUACAGAUCAAGUUCAGGUUUUGUUCCAGUCUGAUGAUUUUUUUGCAGAGUUAUGGUCCUUGGACAUAGAAAAUUCACUUUAAUAAUCAGUUUUCCACACUUUUUUAUGCCACCGCCGUAGUGGAGGGGGCAUUAAGUUUUACCCUUGUCCGUCUGUACGUACGUACGUAUGUCCCAAAAUUGGUUUCCGUUCUCUAACUUUAGUUUGCCUCAACCAAAUGUUAUGAAACUAAUACACAAUGCUUAUUACCACAAAACACAGAUCAAGUUUGAAUUUUGGUGGCGUAACUUUUACCGUUCUAGAGUUAUGCCCCUUUACAAAUGGAAAAAUUGCUUAAUUUUUUGUUUCCGUUCUCUGAUUUUAGUUUGCCUCAACCAAAUGUUAUGAAACUUAUACACAAUGCUUAUUACCACAAAACACAGAUCAAGUUUGAAUGUUGGUGGCUACACUUUAACCAUUCUUGAGUUAUGCCCCUUUAGAAAUGGAAAAAUUGCAAAAUUUUAAUUUUCUUCUAAAUAUCAAGUAAUUUUUAUAUGACCGCAAAAAAAUUUUUGUGGUCGUAUAUUGGUAUGACGUUGGCGUCGUCGUCCGAAGACGCGUUAGUUUUCGCACUCUAACUUUAGUUUAAGUGAAUGUUUCUCAAUGAAAUUUUACCAUAAGGUUCAAUACCACAAAAGGAAGGUUGGGAUUGAUUUUGGGGGUUAUGGUACCAACAGUUAAGGAAUUAGGGGGCAAAAAAUAAGCAUUUUUGUAACUUCCAGACAUAACUUGUGUGUAAGUGUAUGGAUCUCUCUGACAUUGUACCACAAGGUUCCAUAUCACAAAGGGAAUGCUGGGAUUGAUUUUGGGGGUAAUUGCCUCAAAAUUUUAGGAAUUAGGGGCAAAAAAAGGGGCAAAAAACAAGCAUUUUUCUAGUUUCAUGAUAAUAACUUGUAUGUAAGUGUAUGGAUCUUUCUGAAAUUGAACUACAAGGUUCCAUAUCAUAAAGGGAAAGCUGGAAUUGAGUCUGGGGGUAAUUGCCCAAAACGUUUAGGAAAAAGGGGCCAAAAAUAGCAUUUUUCUAGUUUCCAGACAAUUACUUGUGUUCAAGUGUAUGGAUCUCUCUGAAAUUGUACUGCAAGGUACCAUACCACAAAGGGAAGGCUGGGAUUGAUUUUGGGGGUAAUUGCCUCAAAAUUUUAGGAAUUAGGGGCCAAAAAGGAAAAAAAAACAA